rnacentral:lncRNA from 1 species
GUAAGACUCCCCAGGAAACCUGUUGCCCUCUUCACUUCAUCUCAGCAUCUGCUUCCUAAAGAACCCAAUUCAAGACAAGGGAUGUCAGAUGAAACUAGAAUAAAGGCUGCCACUGAAGCAAUGCUGACAUAGGUCUGGGAAUGACAGCACAGCUACAGCAGACCCCAGGUAAAGAAGACGGGAGUAUGGAAACCGAAAGCUCUUACCUAAGAAUCAGAGUCACAUAAAAAAGUCAGAGCUACUUUCCUUGUUUCUUGAUGAACAGAAAGCUGGUUAACACACAGUGGUAUCUAAUGCAGAAAAAUCACAACUUCCUUAAACAGCUGCAAUUGGCAAUUGCCACAGGAAGAUGGCAUUCAUCUCAUGUCCACCUUCUAAAUCUGUAGCAAGACUAUUUCACUGGAUUAACCUAAAUAAAAAUAUCUAAAUUUAUCUGUGACUAAAUCUGUAGAUUUAAUCCUUCUAACUCCUGCUACAUUGGGAGAGGGGUAACAGUGGGAGAGGUAGAGAGAGUGGCAAUGGGAAUGGAUGUUAAUUGACAAUAGACAUUAUGCAGCAAAUCUCACAUCCCUGGUCCCUCCCAUUAAGUACCAGCCCCAUGUUAUUGUAGAAGCCAAGAACACCCCUGCAAAUGUCUGAAAUGCCCUCUAGUUAGUGGAACCACCACAGCUGAACACCACUGGUUUAGAAUGUAACCUGCUAUGGUAAUCACAUUUGUGUAUGAGAUGUGCUUGUUUUCUUAGUAUUACAUACAUGAGGCUGGUGAUAUACUUUGCCUGUUUGAUAGCCUGAGACAGCAGAAGUGGGGCACAUGAAAGACUUGGAUUUGGGAGAAAUGAAACUUCCAGUGUGCUAAAGAAGAAUAUUUACAGCAACUGAUGUUGGUUGAGUUGCCAGAAGCCCAUGGAGAAGGGCUGUCACAUGAGAAACUGGUGCAGAUGGGAAAAGUGAAAAUGACUCGACUUGUCCAGGUUUGUAUGGUUUGUCAAUUCAACUGGUUAAAGGCCGUGAGCCAUCAGUGAAUAAGAUUGCUGAAUGGAUAAUCUAAUCCAGUCAUUGAAACGAAACCCAUCCUGCAAUCAACAUAGAUCUCUCCCUUUUAUAACAACCAAGUCAGCUUUACUUUGAUGAAGCAUAUUGGUUCGGAAUUUGUCCUAAAGCUUUUCAGAG